AACAGGAUUAGAUACCCUGGUAGUCCACGCCGUAAACGAUGUCGACUUGGAGGCUGUGCCCUUGAGGCGUGGCUUCCGGAGCUAACGCGUUAAGUCGACCGCCUGGGGAGUACGGCCGCAAGGUUAAAACUCAAAUGAAUUGACGGGGGCCCGCACAAGCGGUGGAGCAUGUGGUUUAAUUCGAUGCAACGCGAAGAACCUUACCUACUCUUGACAUCCAGAGAACUUAGCAGAGAUGCUUUGGUGCCUUCGGGAACUCUGAGACAGGUGCUGCAUGGCUGUCGUCAGCUCGUGUUGUGAAAUGUUGGGUUAAGUCCCGCAACGAGCGCAACCCUUAUCCUUUGUUGCCAGCGGUUAGGCCGGGAACUCAAAGGAGACUGCCAGUGAUAAACUGGAGGAAGGUGGGGAUGACGUCAAGUCAUCAUGGCCCUUACGAGUAGGGCUACACACGUGCUACAAUGGCAUAUACAAAGAGAAGCGACCUCGCGAGAGCAAGCGGACCUCAUAAAGUAUGUCGUAGCCCGGAUUGGAGUCUGCAACUCGACUCCAUGAAGUCGGAAUCGCUAGUAAUCGUGGAUCAGAAUGCCACGGUGAAUACGUUCCCGGGCCUUGUACACACCGCCCGUCACACCAUGGGAGUGGGUUGCAAAAGAAGUAGGUAGCUUAACCUUCGGGAGGGCGCUUACCACUUUGUGAUUCAUGACUGGGGUGAAGUCGUAACAAGGUAACC
rnacentral:rRNA from 1 species